UGUUCUUCAGUCUUCACUACUGAAUAUAUAGAAUGAAAAAGGAAGUUGCGGGAAUCAAGUUUCUAAUAAUAGGUUGAAAAACUUGGCAAGGCCAGCGAGCCAAACUUUCAGAAAAUUCACUCAACUCUACUCCUGGCACUGCCCCGCAGGAAGUGUACGAGAUGUGGGAGUGAGGACAGCCUUUGGUGUCAGACUGCCCUGUCUACAGAGUGUAGUGUCUACAACUAAAUUAACAGAUAGUGUCGCUACGAUCAGUGAUUGGCUGAGCAGCACUGUGAUGUCCCAUCUACAGCCCCUAGAAUCCGAAGAUCAGUGGAGACUGUCAGAGACCUAGUCAUAGAGGGACCGUCCUGAUAAUGGAAGCUACGAGGAAG